GUGUCCAAUAAGAUAAGUCUUAUAAAAUAUAUAGAUUCAUGAUAAUUAAGACUGAGCUAGCAGAUGAGAAAUCCUAGUCAUUGGCCAAGCAGCAUUUGUACCUAAUAUAAGUCUCUGUGUAUUAUUUGGGGCCCUAAUGCAGUGAGCGUAGCUCAAGUGGGUGGCAGAAAGAUUUAUCAUAACAGGGAAAGGCAAGUAAUUGGGGAGCAUCACCUGGGGGUUUGUGAGACAGGGCAGGAAUCUGGUUCUGAGGGGUAUGCUCUCAAAUUAGUGAUACCAUUGACAAUGGAGCUUAGCCCUACUGGGGACUCCAGGAGCCUCAGGAGAAUGCCACCUCACCCAGGGUCACAUAGCCCAAGCGCUAGGAACUUGGGGAACAAAGGUUCCUUCUUAUCCAUGGUUUUAUUUCCAUGGUCUCCAUUACACCAACCACAGUCCAUAAACAGUACAGGGAAAAUUCCAGAAAUGAGCCUUUCUUUCUUUCUUUCUUUCUUUCUUUCUUUCUUUCUUUCUUUCUUCUUUUUUUUCCAAGACAGGAUUUCUCUGUGUAGCCAUGGCUGUCCUGAAACUCCAUCUGUAGACCAGGCUGGCCUUAAACUCACAGAGAUCUCCGUAUCUCUGCUUCCAAAGUGCUGGGAUUAAAGGCAUGUGCCACCACUGUCUGGCUGAAAUGAGCAAUUCUUAAGGUUUAAAUAACAUUAAAGUUUGUUGUUACAAUUGUUCUGUUUUAUCAUUAUUGUUACAAAUAUCAUACUGUGCUUGAUUUACAAAUUAAGCUUUAGCAUGGGUGUGUUUAUACAGGAAAAAAACAGUGUAUAGCAGAGUCAGAAUUCGGAAAUUCCAGCACUCCCCUUGGUUAUCUGGAAAGGCCCCUCCCUCAGAGGUGUAGCAACUGCAUUUAUCCACACACUCUGACUGGUCAGUCAAUGGAAGCUGUGUCCAGAGGUGUUGGUUCCCCACAUCAUCCAGCCUUCCACACUUAGGGUCAGGUGAGAGGAAGCCCUCCGAUAAAAGUGGAUCUAGGUUUGGGCAAUUGGAAUUCAGUCUUGCCCAUUGUGAUAGUAGGAAGUGGUGGCAACCAGGGCAUUGUCAGCCUCUGCUUCUGCAGCAAAUGCUAAGGGCUUCAAGUUCUGUCUCUCAUAGCGCUAGGAACGAAACCAGGGCUGCACAUGCUCAGGAAGCAUCCACCCCGGAAGCACAUCAUUAGCCCCAGUCCACUUCACUUUAAAAUUUAAGUCUAUGAAUGGAUGAGCACAUGGAUGAAAGGGUGAAAAGACAGACAAACAGACACACAGACAAGACAAACAGACAGUUGUGCAGUAGGUGUUCACAGAGAUGGCUGGGUGAGCGUUGAGUAAACGGAUGCAUGGAUAGUGUAAUGCAUAGGUAGAUAGGUGGGGCCUGGGUAAAUGGGUGUCUAGACAGAUGGAGAGACGGACUGGAUCUUGCUGUACAGGCAAGUGUGUUGGUUGUUUAGGAACUGCGCCUGUGACUUUGUGGCUGGACAGUGAGAUGAGUAGAUAGAGUACACGUAGAGGGGAACGACGACAAGUGGACGGAUGACCUGGUUUAGAAAAGGAAAAGGGCUGGCUGUGGCUUAGCAGGCAGAACCUUGGCCUUCAUUUGAAGUGAACUCAGCUACCAUUACCCCAUCCCAUCUUGUCUCCCACUGAUCUGGGAGGACCCCUUCUCAGUCCACAAGCAUCCCAGUUCUGCUCUCACCUGGAUGGCCCCACAUCAAGACCCGUAUGGGGACCCCGGGUGACUGUAGAGAGAGUGUGACUUGGGGAAGCCUGCAUGAUGGAACGGAAGGAGAUUGCAAUACUUGGCCUUGUACCUAGAAUGAUGGUGUCUUGCCUGGGGCUGUCUGGGCAUCUGUCCAAGUGACAACAUCAUAGGGCUGGCUCUGGCUACCCUGCCCUAUGGGUGGAUGUCAGACAUAUCCAGGCUUGUCCUGCCACCCAAGCCCUGCAGUGGCUAAAGGACAAGACAACUUUCACAGUGGGAGCAGGGAAAGGAGGCUGACAUCAGGCAGGGAACCCACCAUCUCGGCAGAGCCCAGGAGAGUCCAGGGACACCGGGCUCCAGCCCAAAGCACAGCUGAUGGGCCCAGCUCUGCCAGGUUUCAUUGCCUGGGGCACAUUUUUAUGACUAAGGAAUAAUGAGAGGCAGGCGUCUAAUUCCCGGAUUUUCCUAGUGCAGCUGUGUGUGUGUGUGUGUGUGUGUGUGUGUGUGUGUGUGUGUGUGUAUGCUUAUGUGUGUGUAUACAUAGAUGUCACAUGUAGGUCUUAUGUGCUUGCUAUGUGUGUAUUCCAGAGUUUGUAUAUGUAUGCUAGGGACACUUUAGUACACAUGCUAUGUAUGUAAGCAUGUUUAAGCAGGGGCAGGUAUGAGCAUAUUUGUGUGCACGUGCUUGCAUAAGUAUGAACAUGUUUGCAUUUGCAUAAGCAUGUAUGUAUGUAAAAGUUGUCCAGUCUGUAUAUUUGGGCAUAUUGUUGCUGCUUGCCUGAAUGGAAUCCCCCCUGUCCUGUGUGUGUGGGGUGUGUGUGUGUGUGUGUGUGUGUGUGUGUGUGUGUGUGUGUGUGUAUGUGUGUGUGUUAGGCAGAUAAAAGAGGUCGUCAAGGAACAGGAUUCAUGGAAUAAAGAGUCCCAUUCUCUAGCUCCAUCCUCACCCCUUAUUCUACCCCAAGCUCCACCUCCUCACUUCCCCCACCCUCUCCAUUACUCUAUGGCUACAAACCAACUUCAAGAGUGAAACAAUGUUUCUCACUCAUUCCAGGCUACCCCCGGCCUCCAUGGUUUGUAUGUAUUGCCAGGAAUGUCAUAUUUGCCCUUUCUUUGUGAGGGGAAGACUUGUGUCUAAUUCUUUUUUAAAAUCCCUGAGCAUGGAACUGAAUCUGGUUAUGUCGUAGGAUGGAUGGAGGGAUGGACAGAUGUAUGUGUAGAUGAAUGAAUAAACAGAUGGGUGGAUGAAUAGAUGCAUGGAGAGAUGGAUGGACCAAGGACUUGAUAGAGGUGUAGAUGGACAGGCGCACAGCUGGGUACUUGUGUGAGAGCAUGACUAAACCCCACCGUUCUGCUUGAGACACUGGGAGCUGAGGCAAGUGCACCAAGCCUCUUCCCCACCUCACCUUCACUCUGGUGUGGAAAGAAAACCUCUUCUGGCUGCAAGGGCAACUCUGCAUUCUUCCCUCUGGUCACCCCUGCUCUUAGGACUGCUGGCUCCAGGUUGGCCACCUACCUCACCAAGGAGCAGAUCAGGGCUAAAGAGGCAUUGCUAAGUGGCUUAAGUUAGCUCCUGUUUGUGUUCCGGGCUUUCAAAGGCUGGGGAGACUGCUGAGGAGGGGCCUGACUUCAGGCCCACUGCUAAGUGGGCAGGGAUUGUAAACCCUGCAGACCUUGACUGCAGGCAGCUCAAAGCAAGGCCCUAGGAGUUUUGAGACAGGAAAAUAGUGUUUUGUCUUGUGAAUGAAUUCACUUGGCUUUGCCCUGGAGAGCAGGCAGGUGUCCCCAGACGGCUGCUUUGAGCUGGUCCAGGCAAGGGGGCGGGGCGCACUCAAGCCCUGGAUUACAGAGGCCAUGCAGAAGAAGGAGGCCUUUGAUGGGGCCCGGCCUGUUGUCCAGAGCUUGCUUUGCUGGUGGCUGGAGCCCCCUAAUGAGGGGGAAAGGGCUCCACUCUGAAGCAUUCCCUGAGCCUCCCCUGGGCAGCAGGCGGAGACCUCCUUUGAUGUUGGAGUCCUUAAGCCAAGUGGGGACUAAUUGCCACAAGGUACAGAAUGUUCUGGUUUCUUGGGGGGUCUACAGCUUGCUCACAAUGGCACACCGGCCCUGGGGUAGAGGGGAAAAGGCAGCCACCAGCCUCUCUCCUGAUGGAGGCAACUCAAGGACAUUUUGUUGCUUUUUUUCUCUUCGUGCAUUCAGAUCCACACACAAAAUAGGAAGCAUGCCGGAGUCCACGGCAGGUUUGUCAAAGGGUUCUGUUGGAAAGUAUUCACUUUGAAAAUCAGAACCGGUGUAGUGGGAAGGACAAUAGUCAUACAAGAGAUAGAUGACAAUAGCAGCCUGGUGCCAAUUGAUCCAGACUCCAGGCCCUGAUUUACCACUUGUAGUUGUUGAGUAUCUCUGGACCAUCCUCCACAAAUGGCAGAUAAUCAGGCUUGACACACAGUAGGACAUCUGUCCUUUGUAUCCCUUCAGCUGCUGAGACUUGAGCCAGAAACCAAACACAUGGGCAUAUUGUUAUGGUUGGUGCAGAACGCAGGUGCCGAACCUGGUUGAUCACGUGAUCAUGACCGAGGAAGAGGAGGGUUCCUCUGGCUUUUCAUGCAUGCCUCUGAGCUUCCAUCUAAAGGAAGAUGCCCUCACAGUCCUUGAAUUAAGCUUACCCCAUCCACUCCCACCUCUACCUCCCCAUGGAAUCUGGAGCCAGACAGAGCAAUUACUAUGAAAAGAACCGUUGUAGUCAGCAAUUGUAUUUUUACUCUACCAUGCACAGCACUUGGUUAUUGGCCUGCAUUCUUGCUAGUCUUCACAGGGAAGUGCUCAAAGGCUAGUAGGUCAUUUCACAGGCUGGGAAACCAAGACUCCAAGACAAACAACUUGAUCAAGAUCAUCCUAUGUAGGAAAGGAAGCACUUUCCAAUAGGCCUGCCCCAAUGUCCACAUCCUCCCCAGCUCUUUUCAGCUGAGCUGAGCAAGCUCCUUUGGGCUCCCUUUCUCAUCUGGCCAGCAGGAAUAACAUCAAUGGUUUCCCUCCAUCUCCCAGCUGCCGCGCUGAUUUCCCCUCUGGAAUCACUAAGAGAACCUUAGAGACAUAGAAGGGACCUCUCCCCCUCCCUCCCACAGGUACCAACACUGCCUCCACUCUGUCGACUCUGCAGGGGUGUCUUGGGGAGAGGAGACCGUGUCUAACUAAAAUUAUUCUUUGGACUGUGUUGCCCUGUGUAUCUCCAUCCUGGCUUUCUGGCCUGUGGAAGCUUUGAGGAGUGGAGAGAAGAGCUGUCUCUCCUCUGAAAGCAGCUAGCGAGGGAAGUAAUUUGGUAUGUGGUGAAUCCAGUAGGUGCAUGGCAAGGGAGUCCACCUUUGCCUCUGUCAAAGUCAGCAACCAGUAUGGGAGGGGGCCUCUGGGAUGUGGAGAAAGUGCCAUCUGUGUUUCCUGGCUUCUAUGGGAUGUGUUUGACUUUACAAUUAAGACACAGGCAUCCUCAGGCAUGCACAGGAUAGCUCUGAGGAGCCAAGUGAUGCAGAGCAGAAGCCUGAAUCCAGCAGACAGGACCUAGGUCCUAGGAAAGAGUAUGGGGCUGGAAAUGGACUUCAGACAUUGUCUGUGGGUGUUGCCAGAUAGGUGUUGCCCCAAAGGUCCCUCAUAAGAGGAGAUGAUUCCCACAAAGAGUGCUGAGAGGCAAUGCCACAGCUGUCCCUGAGCUGCUGGAGCUCUGCCUGGCCUUUCCUAGAAUACCUGGACAGAGGAAGGUCUAAGAGGCUCUGCAGUUUCUGUGUCCCCAAAUGUCACCUCUACAUGUUUUCUUUUUGAAAAAAUUAACACGGAAGCAACUUCACUGUUUUACAGCAAUAUUUGUCAUCUCCCUUCUGAAAUGUAUGUAUGUAUGUAUGUAUGUAUGUAUGUAUGUAUGUAUGUAUGCAUGUAUGUAUGUAUUCAGACUGAGAGAUGGCUCAACAGUUCAGAGUGCUCUGCUUUUGCAGAGGUUGCAAUUUCCAGAACCCAUAUCUAGUGUCUCACAACUGCCUGUAACUUCAGCUCCAAGGAACUCUGACUCCCUCUUCUGGCCACCUGGAGGCAUUGCAUUCAUGCACACAAACCCACUCACAGAUACACAUACAAACAUACAAAUAAAAAAGAAACAAAUAGAGAUAAGCUAAAAGGAGGAAAUAAAAAUGGCCAGAGAUAGCUAUAUACACAGCUGGCCUCUACAUCUGUGGGUUCCUCAUUGGCAGAUUCAGCCAAGCCUGUGUGCAUCUCUGUACUGAGCAUGCCCAGAUGUUUUCUUCUGAUCCUCUUAACCAAUGCAGUGUGGCUAUUCACACAGCAGUUUCGGUGUCCCGGGCAUGAGAAGUCACCCAGAGAUGAUGAAAGUUGACAGGAGGCUGUGCAUGGGUCAGAUGCCAACAUUGCUCCAUUGUACAUGAGAGACUUAGGCUCCUGUGGGUGCUGGUAUCUGAGGGAAUCCAGGGGCUAAUUGGCCAUCUGUGAUUGUACACAUGUAGUAUGGUGACCUGGUCUCUCCUACUUAAUAUUUCCGACAUAUGUCUGACUGGUGAUCUUAAACAAUUUCAUAGCAUCCCAGGAAUGGUCAUAGUUUGACGAUCUCCAAUUGUCGAUUGUUUGGGCUGGUUUGAGAGCUCUGCGGUGAGUUCGCUUUCUGGACUGGUCCUGCCCCCUCCUGACUGGGUGGUGAGGGCAUCUGCUCUGCCUGGGAGCACUGGUGUUUUUGAAGUCUCUGAUGGCACAGCUGUUCCCUGGGAAGACCUGUAACAUCCUACCACCCCUUGGAGUGUCCUGAAAGCUACUUCUUGUUCCUGUCACCAACACCAGAACCCACUUGACUCCUUCAACUAGUAAGAGCACAUGGAGCAUCAAGAGAGGGGGAUGGAAAAGCUGUGACUGACCCAUCCCAUCCAUGAAAAGCCUGACAGCUCUGAUGAUUCCUGGGGAUGGAACUCAGAGGGAGAAUCCAACAGCUCAAAGGCCACAUCAAAACAAGCUGCUGUCUAUACUGCUGUCUACACUGCUGCUGCUGUCUACACUGCUGCUGCUGUCUACACUGCUGCUGCUGUCUACACUGAUGAUGCUGUCUACACUGAUGAUGCUGUCUAUACUGCUGCUGCUGUCUACACUGAUGAUGCUGUCUACACUGAUGCUGCUGUCUACACUGAUGAUGCUAUCUACACUGCUGCUGCUGUCUACACUGCUGCUGUCUACACUGCUGCCUCGGUCUGCUCUGAUGCACCACCUCUACACCACACCACCUCUACACUCCAUCUACACUGAUGGAUGCCAUCUCUACCAGUGCCUUUUAUUCAUUCCCCUGGUGCCCUGAUAAAGUGCGGGUAAGGGCAUCCUUGGGCCUUCUCUUGGUUCCUGGAACUCCUCCUUAUCUUUGAUACAUCUAAAUUAAUUUGUAAUUGACAGUUAAAGAACUAAACUCUCUGGCUAAUUUUAGAUAAGUCGACGUGUUCCCAAGCUGCUAUUUUUUUUAGCCACUCCUGGCCCUCAGCCAUGACCUAAUGAUUCUGCCAUUAGCAGUGUGGACAGCUCUGCGCCUCAGAAACACAGCGCUAUCCACAGUUCGUGUCAACAGCCUGCUCCUCUUUAAAGUCACAAACCCUCUGAGUUCCAGAAGUGUCUGCUGCUAAAUUUGGAUCCUGUCUUUGGUAAUUGUGCUCCUAUUAGGCUGAUGAGAGAGUUAGCAGAACUGGGCCUUUGGGCUUCUGCCCACAGUGUGAGCCAAACAGGAAAUGAUUCUGUGAACUUGACUUCUGAGAUGUGUAAAAGGCCUGUCCAUCACUUUGCUCAUGGCACAGGCACACUAUCAAAAUAGCAUGUGCUGCCUUUCCCAGGAGAUGAACUCUGGGCCUGGCAGGAACCCAGGAUUCAGCAGGAGUGAAAGUCUUUACUGGAAAAGGGGUGGCUGCUCUUUGAUUCUCCUGGAGUCCUGGCAAUGGCCCUUGUGGUGGCCACAACUUUGCCUGACAGGCUAAAUUCACUCCUGUUUGUGGAGAUGUGGCAUGGAAAGUCAACAGAGUAUGACCUCUGGAGGUAGAUGAGCCCAGGUUCAGGCCUUGUGACCUCUGGAGGCAGGGGAGCCUAGGUUCACACACUAGGGUUACCAUUUAUAACAGGAUGAACUGGGAUGGCCAGCCUCACUAAUGAUGGAUGAUAUCAUGUGUGGAAAGGACUGAGUUCAGAGAGCAUGUACAGGAAGAAGGGGCUGAGGUUCUCUCUCUGGCGCCAAUGAUGCACUUGACAUGAGUUUCUGAGUAUGGUAGUCAAGGUCCUCUAGAGAAACAGAAUGUAUAGAAUGCAUAUGUAUUUGAAAAGGAGAUUUACAUCACUGUUUGCGUAAUAGGGGCUGGGGAGUCCAACAAUGGAUGUUUGCAUAGAGGAGAGCCCAAGAAGAUUGCAGCUACUCAGUCUAUGAAGCUGUGUACCUCCAUAAUCCCAAUGUAAUGCUGAAACCUAGAAAGAUUCUUGGAGAGCUUCUGGAAUUCAGUCUACAUUAGAAGAUGAAAGGAAUUGAAGUCUGCCAUCUGUGAAGUGUAACAGCAGUGUAGAUUCACUCAUCAGCAAGACACAAACAACAAACACUGCCUAACCUUGGCCUCUUCAUGUCUGGGCUGGCUGGUUGAUGGUGUUGCCUACUCUGAGAGAAAGUCUUACACUGUCAAUUAAUACUUUCUGGAAAUACUCUUUACAGACUUGCCCAGAGUCACGUCUCUUAACUGAGCUCUCAUCCAGUCAAACCGACAACCAAGACUAACCAUUAAACUUGGAUUAGGAAGUUUGCUUCUCCUUCUGUAAAAAGAUGGCAAAUGAAUAAUCUGUGCUAUUCAUUUUAGUAUUGAUCAACUGAAAAAUCUAAAAUCUAGUGAUAUAUUUGUAAUGUCUGUCAUGGCUGAGUAGUAGGUGGUUAAGAAGAGCAUUCCAUGCGUUUCUGUCUCCCUUCUGGAAUGUAAGCUCUGAAGCUAAACUUGAACAAUAAUCCAAAGCAUUUUUGCUUCUUAUUCUUCAUAAGGUCUAUUCUAAUCCAAUGGUUGCUGGGUUUUAAACACCCAAACCCCACAGAGACCUUGAGUUUCAAAAUGGCAGACACUAUAACCCGCAAGAAAAACAUUAAUAAUCUUACCCUAUAUAUAAAGGAUUGACAUCUCAGAUUCGGGGACAAAUUGCCCAGAAUCCUGCAGUAAGAUGAUAGAAGAUAACAGGUACACUGUCAGGAAGGCCUGGACAGAAGUCCUCAUGUUACUGUCUGUGAGAAGUGGGAAUGUACUAGGGUGUGGUCUAUACUUGUCCCAGAAGGGGUUUUUCCAGCUUUGUUUCUGUGAUUCAGAACACCCCCACCCCAAAGAAUCCCUCAGACAGCAUGAAGAGUCUUUUUAGGCUUCAACUCUAGCCUAUGCAAUGACCUUCAGUAGGUCACUUUUUAGGAUCUUUACCCAUGCUGUGUGCCCAGCUCAAGAGACGCAUCCCCCGGAGUACAGGAGCUGAUCAGCAGACCCAGGUGUCCUUUCUCAGGACAUGCUAAGAGAACUCCAGAGAUCUGAGGUCCAGAGGGGCUUUCCCUUUAAAAGGCAUCAACAAGGAAGUGUGUGUGUGUGUGUGUGUGUGUGUGUGUGUGUGUGUGUUGUAUCUAGGGGAGAAAUAUUAUAAUAAUGGGAAGAACAAGGCAUUUUACUGACUUGCAGAUGAAAGCUGCCUUUAGUUGGAUUUCUCAGCCUUCUACACAUCAAUUCAGCUGUGCCUGGAAAAAUACUUAACUUGCCACAGGAUGCCAAGUCAUGAGACAGGGAGAGAGAGCACAGGAGAGAAAGAAACAGAGACAGGGACACAGAGACACAGAGAGUUGGAGACAGAGAGGCUAUUCUGGGUAAAACCCCGGCCCUUUCCCCAGAGCAAAGGGAUUAUAGGAAGGAAGGCGUCCUCUUCUUGGUGGCAGUCUCUUUAUUUGAUCUUCAUGUGAUGCUGGAAGAAAGUCAGAAUGAAGGGCUUUUGCAUGUUAUCCCAUGAGAGAUGGAGAGAGAAAACAAAAAGGAGGAAAGAUGGAAAAAGGCAGGACAGGGAAGAAAAGGGCAGAGAGGAAAUGAAAAGGAGAAAUGGGGAACACUGUGGAAGUGAGGAGGUAGCAAGUGAGAAGGAAUGAGGGAAGAGGAGAAUGAAGAGAGGGGAGCAGAUUGAGAGAGAGAGAGAGAGAGAGAGAGAGAGAGAGAGAGAGAGAGAGAGAGAGAGGGGAGCCAGGGAACAGACUGGUGGUCACAAAGACAGAAGGACAGGGAGUGUGCAGAGCCUCCGUCUCUCCCAUCUCCAAUCUGCCUAUAUGGCAGCAUGGCCCCUGCAUCCAUGGUGCCAUGUGUGCUUGGUUCUUAUGUGAAGCCAGAGGACAGUGCCGAGCCGGCUCUGAAUCCACAGCCAGAGCCUGAGCUUGCAGGAAGGAGUCUUCAGCUAGAUGCUGUAGAGAGGUGAGCCCGACCUCAGAGCAGCAAGCACCAACCCUCUGUGCCCAGGACCCCAGGAGAGGGCUUCUAACUGAUGUGGCUAGUCUAAGGAUCCAGGCAGAGCUGGAUUUGAGUCUUGAUCUAUUUUUACCAGUAGCUCUAGGCAUGUGGCUUUGAGUCUCAGUUUCCCCAUCUGUGACAUGACCCUAAUAUGAAAACAGGUCUGGUGGGUGGAGAAGACUGUGAAGAAACCAAAUAGCCAGGGCUAAUUCCAAGGUCAGAAAGCUGCAAACCAAUGCCAGGCAGCUUGAUUCAUGAGAGAAGACCUUUGUUUCUUCUUCUUCCAGCUUUGGCAUUUUAAAAAUUUAUCAGUGAUGCUGGCACCAGGAGUUUUCUUAUAGGAAGAAAUUUCUAUUCUCGGUUUCUCAUAAAAGAUUCUGGCAGGGCACUGGGGAGGCUUCCCUUGAUACGCUUCCUUUCAUGACCUGGAAGUUAUUUGACUUUUUCUUCAAGCACCUGUGUCUGCUUGCAUUUCUGUUUGAUUGACAUGAUCGUUCAUAGAGAAAGGUAAACACAAAUAGCCAAGGGACAAGCUGCCAUGUCUUUCUCAGAACAAAGCCAAGUGUCCGUCACAUUGACUCCAUCACCCCUGCUGACAUAGAACCCAUGGACUGAUGGGGUUGCAAGCAUGUUUCCCAGUGAGCUCAAGGAUCCAAGCAAGAGGCAGCAUCUCUUGAAAGAGUAUGUUUCUGUAUAAGUGUUUAAACAAUCGGCUUUCGUUCCAGGCAUUGCUCGGAGCUUUGCAUGUUUUCCAAGUAUUUAGGCAACAAGUAGGUAAAAUGACAGUAUAUUCAGAUGGUAGAAGACUUGGGCACAGGCAGUUCCCCCUCCAUAUUCACAUGGGAUUGGUUCCAGUACCCCUAGGCCUGCUGUAGACACCGAAAUCUGAGGUCCCUUGUGUAGCCUUUGCAUGGCACCUACACAGCCUCUUGAACCCACUUGGGCUGCUUACACUUCCUAAGACAAUGCACAUGCUGUGUUGAUGGUUGCUAGGGGACACUAUUCAGGGUCAAGAGGAGAAAGGGUUCAGAGCAGAUGCAGAUUUUCUCUGAAUAGUUUUGAUCAUAUGCAAGUUGAAUUCGUGGGUGUUGGAUCCAUCAUCUUUCUGGAGGACCAGUUGUGUGCCAGUAGGAUGCCACAGGGCAAAUAGGCAGAAAGCACCUGGGUUGAUGGAGGCAGGGGCUCCACUGCUUGAGUGCCUGCUGUGUUUUGAGUCCAGGGCUGUGCCCCUCAUCUAGACAUAUCUGUUCACUCAGAGCAUCUAUGGCCCAGCAUGGGAAGUAGGCAAGCAGACAAAAUCAAGUUUUCCAAGACGACAGUGCAUCGUUCUGGGGACUCCAAGAGAAACAGCUUGGAGGAGUAUAGUAUGAUUCUGCUCCCUGGGAAGGUUAAGCCCUGGAGAACAGUGGUACAAUUGAGCAUUCUAGGCAGGAGGUAGGAGCCAUAGAGGUGUAGCUAGGGGGUCCCAGGAAGACUGUAGGGUUCUGGGCCACUGCAUGGGAGAGUUGAGGGAGAGAUGGAGCAGGAAGGAGCCCUGGGAUCAUACUGGGCAUGUGCUCUGGCUGCUGAGCGGAAGAAGUGGGUGACAGUGGCAGGGAGCAGGAGCCCUGGGCAGCUGUGCCCUAGAACAAGCCUGAUGACACUCAGGAACAGGAAAGAUGACUUUGGAGGCAUGUAGAAGUGGCUUGAAGUGUCUGAGUCUGAAGGUGGAAGGUCAGAGAGAGAGAGGAAAUGGAGGCAAUGGUGGUGUCUAGGAGCAGAGACUGGAUUUCGCGGAAGCCUUGCUGGAGAAAAGGCUGAGGAGACUCAGGAACAGCUGCAGCCUCCCGAAGAAGACUAAUUUGCAUAAACACUGGAUCUCUGUGAAGUUCUACCCCAACCCAUGGAUGGCUAAUUGGGUUUGUACAUCCAACGGCAAACAUUUAUGGAUGCUGGCCCCACUGGGACUCCCAGCUAGGGGCUGAGAGAAUGAGAAGAGUAGAUUCCUGCCCAGGAAGUGGAGAGUCACCUAGAAACCUUGCUUUAUAAAGGAUUUUUGUGACCUAGCAUCCUAUGAAGCAGAUGGUUGCCCUCCCCCUCAACCCACACUCCAGUUCCCAUUUUCCCUGGCUCAGAUAAUACACAUGGCUGCCACUGAACUCAGGCAAGAAGAGCCAGGCCUGAUUGACAGUUUCCUGUGUGCCAGGCAUAGUAUCAAGGGCUUGUCACCAACUAUCUUACCCCAGAAUAGAGUUCAAGGCUUGGCAAGCUUCCUGUAAAAGGCCAGGCAGUCAAACGUUUAGGCUUGAAGGCCAAAUGGUCUCUGGAGCGGCUAUUUCAAUCUACCAUUGUAACAUGAAAGCAGUCAUAGACUAAACAUAAAUGAAUGGACAAGGCUGCAUUCCAAUAAAGCUUUAUUUAUACAAAUAGGCUGUGGGCCAGGGUUGGCCCCAAACCAUAUUUUGUUAAUAUAAGAUGGAGUUCCCUACUGUAGAUGAGGAGACUGAAUGUUUCAGGCGGGGCCUGGGGAAUGGAGACCACUCAAACAGGGAGCUGGAGAGGCUUACUUCAAGUAAGAAUAGCAGAGGAGAGGAAGCAGCAGGGGUGGUGGGGGGAGUUGUCUCCUCCAGCCACAUGGGGCACUGCUUGCAAACUCUGGGGUGCAGGGGUGGCUGGACAAAUGCUGCCCCCCUUGGAAUAGUGGAAUAGUGCCUCACUGAUGAAGCUGAGGUGGCACCCUGACCUGACUGUCCCCUCCUGUGUCCACCCUUCAGCUGUUGUCCUUCCACCUGUCCCAUUGAAGACCAGGGAUCCAUUGAGGCAGGCAGAGAGUGGCAUGCUGGCAAAUGGAGGUCAUGCAGACCCCAGGACAACACAACCAAGGCUUGGGGAGGCUGAACAGCUGCUCACUCACAAAGCUCCUGAGCAGCAGCAACAGAAUUUCAAGUCACCCUUGUUCCAUCUAUCCUCCAGCCGCCAUGUUGUUGUUGUCUUAUGUAGCACUGGGCAUGAAACCCAGGACCUCAUACAUGUGUUCAGCAAGUGCUUGGCCUCACUAAAUUCUCUUCUGGGUAGAGUUUAACAUACGAGAGGUGACAGGCUACAGGAGAGCCAGGACGAUUUGCUGCAGGAGGAAGCUGCCCUCUGAGGAAAAGCAGCUCCAAGUGUGGCUCCUUGAUGUGACUUUAGGACUAGACGAGCCUGUGUUGAAUCCCAGCUCAGCUAAUGACUUGUGUCUUGGGGGCAACUCCUUUUACCUCUUGGAACCCCACUGUUCCUCUCUGGAAAAGUCAAUUAUCUUUCUUCAUACAGAAUGGUUCUCGAGGGGCACUCAGCAGACCUCUAACCCACUGGGAUGUUAGUUUACCAAGAAAAUUCCCAAGACCCAUCUCAGAUUGUAUGAACCCCAGAGACCAUGGCUGUGAUCAGAAAACCCAUGCCCUGUUUGGGUCCUCGAGGCAAUCUGGACUUUUCUAUCUGUGAGAACCCAGUUAUAUCAGUUUCUCCCCCCAUUGUUGUGAUAAAGCACUCCACCUGAAGCACUUGAAGGAAAGAAGACUUCAUGUGGCUCACAGUUCAAGGGCACAGAGCAUCAUGGUGGGGGCGUCAAGGCAGCAAGAGCUUGAGUUGCUGGUCGCAUCACAGUCACAGUCAAGAACAGAGAGGGAUGAGAGCUGUCACUCAUGCCUUUUCUCUGCCUGUGUAGGCCAGGAUCCCACCCUGUGUAGGCAGGAAAUCUGCCACCCAGGGUGGGUGGGUCUUUCCACCUCAAUGCCAUUAAGACAAUUUCCCCCAUGGGGAUGGAGAGGUGACUGCAUGGCUAAGAUCGCUUGCUGAUCUUGCAGAGGAUCUGGGUUUGGUUCCCAGCACCUACACACUGGGCAGCUCACAACCUCUUGUAAUUGCAGAUCCAGGGGGAUGUGGCACCCCUGCUGGUCUAUGUGGAUACUGCAUGUAUAUGGUGUACAUACAGACAAGCAGGUACACACAUGUACACAUAAAUAAAAGUAAGUAAAAUUAAAACAAAGAAAGGCAAACAACCCCCCACAGGCAUGUCCAGACACACAUCUUAUAGGUGACUCCAGAUUCUGCCAAGUUGGCAAUUAACACUAGCCAUAACAUCAGUCUUGUGGCUUUUUGUCAAAGUUAAAUAAACUAUAUAGUUGCAGAUUUGGCGUCAGCUAACCCAUCAUUUGAAAUAGCAGAUCCUGUACCAUGUUACUGACCAGAAUGAGACCUCAGUCAUUUGACCACCAUGGGGAUAAUAUCACCUUCAUUCCCCAUUUAACAGCUGGGAAAACAGAGAGCAGAGGACCCAGAUACCUGCCUGAGACUUGUAGAUAUCCACUGGCCCAGACACAAGCAUGCUGGCUUGUGUCCUCUCUUUUCCCGUAUGGUGUGAUAUGGUGGGAAGGCCAAUGGAUGGGGGCGGGUAUGUAGCAACUGGGAAAGUUCAGAGGCCCCAGGGAAAGCCCAAGGGCUGAAGGUGAGAUGUUCAAUCUCCAUAGGAGCUGCAGAAUGGGACCACCCAGUAGGACCUGGCAAAUCGUCUAAGCCUCUCCCCUGCCUUGGGACGGGCACAGCCUCCACAAAGCUCUGCAACCCAGCAGGGUGUGCGAAACCAGCCAGGGUGUAUGAUUCACACUAGGGGACUGGCAGCUUGCACACCGAGGCUUCCUCUCCUCCUUCUUUUAAAUCAAGCCAUGAGACUGGUUCAUGGCAAAGGGACCCAAAUACUCUGCAGAGAGAGAGACAUGUGUCCUCAGGAGUGCCAGGCUUCUCCCUGGCAUCUUUUUGUGGAGAUACUGAGACAUGUAUUUUUUUAAACUAAUAAAUCCUAAAUCUUGUUUGAAUCCCAACCCAGAACAGAUGCAAUGCAUAUGGUCAGUAGACCUGGAGUUGCAAAUAAAUACAUUUG
rnacentral:lncRNA from 1 species